UCACCGCUCAUUUCCUUAUUCUUCAUUGAGAAACCCUAAAUUUUAUUUCUCUUUGGACAGAAUCAUCGUCGUUCACUAACCCUAAUUAUCAUACACGACAAUGUCAAAUCUUUGGUGAAUCAAUCAUCUAAUCUCUAUUCUAUCCGAUAAUCUCCUCAUCGCCUUUCUGAUUCUCUCUAUCUCGGCCGAUUAUUUUGUUUUCGAGGAUUGCCAGGUAAAGUGUGAUUUUCAUUUUAUUAUGGUGUUAAAUGUUUACCAGUGGCGUUUAAAAGAAUACUAACUAGGGUUCUGCCAUGAACUCUCGACGGCGGUGACACUCUUUGUUGCGAUUUUGAGUUAUUGGCGGAUUUUGAGAUCUAACCCGAGUGGACUGGAACUGUUGUAUGGGAUUCAAAACAUUCGACAGGAACCAAAUUGUGUUCCCUCAAAAAAUGCAAAGCAGUGAUGGAUAUGAAAUUGUAGACCAGUGUUACACCUGAGGAGGAGAGACCGAUGAAGAUGAAUCUUUAAACCUCAAAGAAAAGGAGAUUUUUAUAACUCAAAUCUGAGAUACACUCAAAGAAAAGGAGAUUUUUAUAACUCAAAUCAGGGGAGGAGAGACCGAUGAAGAUGAAUCUUUCUUUAAGAAAUACAACUAUAAUCUUGCAUGUUUUGAGCUUACGGUCAAGAUAUGAGUAUUAAAUUGGUUUCUUUUAGAUUCUUUGUGGAAGACAAUCAAAAGUUCUUAGGGAUUUUGCAAAGCUCAGAACGAUGAGGAUGCUUAUCGAAGUCCGGUUAAAGAAGCGUUUCCUGUUUACAACGAAUCGAAUAUGAUUUGUCACCAGCUUCCUAAUAGAAGUGAUGAGUUGCUGAUUAACUCACUGAAUGCUACUGUUGACACUAAUCAACAAGCUCAAUCGUUCGUUGAAGCGUCGUUGAAUCAACGUCUCUCCAGUCUGUGCAACCUCCAUUUGGGAGGAUCCCCCUUGAAAGUUACUGGUCUGCUCCAGUCGGAUGCACAGUCGGAUGCACAGUGGCGGUUGUAAAUGAAGCCCUUUCAGUGUAUCUAUCUGAAGAAUUAAGGAGUUAUUGAUGUUAACAAGGAGCGAGAGAAGCUCAAUGCUAAGUUUACAGAAUAAUAAAAGCAAAAUGAUAGUUUAAACAAGGCGAUGAGUGCCAAGGGUACGAGGAGAAGGUGCCAGCUCAUAUCAAAGAAGAAAAUGUUGCAAAACUCGCCUCAUUGAUGCAACAGCUACUCUCUAUCGAGGAAGCCACUCAACACAUUGAUCGCCAAAUAGUCGCAAGUUCAUAAUCAUUUUGCUUUCGGGGUGAAGGCGAUAUAUGGUGGUGAUAUUACGUGAUAUUGAAAUUGGUUCACUAUACAUGGGAUGAGUUAUGAUGGAAAAUAAUCACUAACGAAAGGAAAUGAAAGAUCAAGGGGUGGGUGAAGGCCGGUUGCUGCUACUUAAAGGCGUCAGCAGGGCUUUUGAGGCCAGGUGUUCUCACAGCUCUACUGGGUGUCAGUGGUGCUGGUAAACUACUCUCAUGGAUGUGUUAGCGGGUUGAAACAAAGGCGGGUAUAUUGAAGGCGAUGUUAAGAUUUCUGGGUAUCCAAAGGAAAAAGAAACAUUUGCUUGAAUUUUCAGUUAUUGUGAGCAAAACGACAUCCAUUCACCUCAUAUGUUUGUUGAUGAGGUGAUGGACCUUAUGGAACUCAUCCCGAUAAAGGAUGCAUUAGUCAGGUUACCAGGUGUCAACGGGCUAUCAACUAAUCAAAGAAAAGUGUUGACCAUAACUGUUGAGCUUGUGGCUAACCCGUCUAUACUAUUUAUGGAUGAGCCAACCCUCGAGUUAGAUGCCAGGGCUGCAGCCACUGUGAUGAGAACAUGGCUGCAGCCAUUGUGAUGAUAACGGUUAGGAACACGGUGGAUACAGGAAGAACUAUUUUCACCAUUUGUCAACCAAGCAUCGAUAUAUUUAUAGCGUUUGAUGAGAGGUGGACAAGAGCUAUACGUUGGAUAAAAUAGGAUGCCAUUUUCUUCGAGGUAUGGACAAUUCAAGAAGCAUUAAAAUAAAGGAAACAAAAUGAAAGAGACACUGUCACCAACUGGUUAUAUGCACAAACUAGGGCUUCUUUUACCUCAUCUCAAUCAUGGAGUAUAGGAACAAGUGUUACAAACUGUUUUUAAAGAAUGUAAAAAGUCUUUUUUCGCUUCCACUUGAAUAGAAGAUGAAACUGGAAUGCAAAGGAUACAUGGGCUUUUCUCGGAUUUAUGUGGAGAACCUUGAUUCUUCCACCAAUUCUAAAGUUAUUCAUAACCUUUUAUGCAUCUGCGGUUAUACUUGCUCGAGGUUUCGUUUGAAGAUGAUCAUUUGGUACCAGAUGUGGGUCUCAAUUUUGUGGUGUAUGAAUCUUUAAAGAUUGGUUGGUUAAAUCAAGACCAUCUGGGCUAGCCGAGGACGUUGAGUUGAAUUUGACAACCAAACGCCAACUAGGGAUGAGAUCGAUACCAACCGGUACCGGUACCAAAAAUCCCAAACAUUUGGGUACCGGUACCUACCGGUAUUUGAAGGUAAAAAUCGGUACCGAAAAUCGAAUCAGUUCGGGAAAUUUGGUACCGGUACCCAGUACCAUUUGCUCAUCCCUACCGCCAACAUAGUGGUUCGCGUGGGUUUAGAGGAGGCCAAGUCCUAAGUCUUGCGCGUUGGUAAGACCAGAUCUAUUAUUCUGUUAUGAGGUUUGGUGAUAUAUACAUGCUAUAUCUCAAUAUACUACUCUGGCAUGUCUUUGCCAGACCUCUUGUGAUAUUGUUUAGGAUUGAAAGAGUAUUAUCACAUUCUCAGAUAAUUUUUGUAAUGUGGCUAUUAAAAUUAUUAGCAUAAAUGAUGAAGUUAAUUUAAG